rnacentral:rRNA from 1 species
CGCGGUAUUGUGACCGUGCAAAGGUAGCAUAAUCAUUAGUCUUUUAAUUGAAGGCUGGUAUGAAUGGUUGGACGAGAAAUUAACUGUCUCAAAUUUUGAAAAUUGAAUUUUACUUUUAAGUGAGAAGGCUUAAAUGUGCUAGAGGGACGAUAAGACCCUAUAAAGUUUUGUACAUUAAACCAAUUAAUAGGCGAUUUAGGUUUGUAAGGUUUACUAUUAGGUAGAUGUUUGGUUGGGGCGACUAGGAUAUAAGUUAUUUAACUGUUCUUUGUUAGAAUCAAAGGUAUUUGAGUUUAUGAUCCUUUUUAAGGGUUAUAGAAUAAAUUACUUUAGGGAUAACAGCGUAAUUUUUUUUGAGAGUUCCUAUCGACAAAAGAGUUUGCGACCUCGAUGUUGAAUUAAAAUUUCUUUGUGGCGUAGAAGUUACAGGAGAAGGUCUGUUCGA